rnacentral:lncRNA from 1 species
AAUCCCACCUUUCUCACUUUUAAGUUAUUUUUUCUCUUUUAUUUGUUUUUUUUAUUUCUAACUUUUCUGUUUUUAAAACUACAAAAAAAAAUCACAAAAUUACAUUUUUUUUAAUUUUCGUAUUUAUAAAAUAGGCAUUUAAAAAAAAAAAUUCAUUUUUUAAACUUUUUUAUUUAAAAAAUAGCCAAAAAUCAUUAAAAAAAAGAUUGGAAAAAUUGUGUUCAUAUUUUAUUAUUCAAUUUCAUUU